rnacentral:rRNA from 1 species
GAUGAACGCUAGCGGCAGGCUUAAUACAUGCAAGUCGAACGGUAGAAGUCUCUUCGGAGGCUUUGAGAGUGGCGCACGGGUGCGUAACGCGUAUGCAACCUGCCUUCAGUUGGGGGAUAGCCCGGGGAAACCCGGAUUAAUACCGCAUAAUACAGGGGCCCCGCAUGGGGAUAUUUGUUAAAGAUUUAUCGACUGAAGAUGGGCAUGCGUCUGAUUAGCUAGUUGGUGAGGUAAUGGCUCACCAAGGCGACGAUCAGUAGGGGAUCUGAGAGGAUGGCCCCCCACACUGGUACUGAGAUACGGACCAGACUCCUACGGGAGGCAGCAGUAAGGAAUAUUGGACAAUGGGCGGAAGCCUGAUCCAGCCAUGCCGCGUGCAGGAAGACGGCCCUAUGGGUUGUAAACUGCUUUUGUAAGGGAAUAAUAAGGCGAACGAGUUUCGCUGAUGAAGGUACCUUACGAAUAAGCAUCGGCUAACUCCGUGCCAGCAGCCGCGGUAAUACGGAGGAUGCAAGCGUUAUCCGGAUUUAUUGGGUUUAAAGGGUGCGUAGGCGGCCUUUUAAGUCAGGGGUGAAAUGUUGCGGCUUAACCGCAGAAUUGCCUUUGAUACUGGGAGGCUUGAAUGAAGUUGAGGUAGGCGGAAUGUGGCAAGUAGCGGUGAAAUGCAUAGAGAUGCCACAGAACACCGAUUGCGAAGGCAGCUUACUAAGCUUUGAUUGACGCUGAGGCACGAAAGCGUGGGGAUCAAACAGGAUUAGAUACCCUGGUAGUCCACGCAGUAAACGAUGAGAACUAGCUGUUGGCGAUAGAAUGUCAGCGGCACAGCGAAAGCGUUAAGUUCUCCACCUGGGGAGUACGACCGCAAGGUUGAAACUCAAAGGAAUUGACGGGGGCCCGCACAAGCGGAGGAGCAUGUGGUUUAAUUCGAUGAUACGCGAGGAACCUUACCUGGGCUUGAAAGUGAGUGACCGGCGCUGAAAGGCGCCUUCCCUUCGGGGCACAAAACUAGGUGCCGCAUGGCUGUCGUCAGCUCGUGCCGUGAGGUGUUGGGUUAAGUCCCGCAACGAGCGCAACCCCUAUCAUCAGUUGCCAUCAGGUAAAGCUGGGGACUCUGGUGAGACUGCCUGCGCAAGCAGUGAGGAAGGCGGGGACGACGUCAAGUCAUCAUGGCCCUUACGUCCAGGGCUACACACGUGCUACAAUGGCAGCUACAGAGGGCCGCGACCGUGCAAACGGGAGCUAAUCUCAAAAAGGUUGUCACAGUUCGGAUUGAGGUCUGCAACUCGACCUCAUGAAGUUGGAUUCGCUAGUAAUCGCGUAUCAGCAAUGACGCGGUGAAUACGUUCCCGGGCCUUGUACACACCG